rnacentral:rRNA from 1 species
GAUGAACGCUAGCUACAGGCUUAACACAUGCAAGUCGAGGGGCAGCAUUUUAGUUUGCUUGCAAACUGAAGAUGGCGACCGGCGCACGGGUGAGUAACACGUAUCCAACCUGCCGAUAACUCCGGAAUAGCCUUUCGAAAGAAAGAUUAAUACCGGAUAGCAUACGAAUAUCGCAUGAUAUUUUUAUUAAAGAAUUUCGGUUAUCGAUGGGGAUGCGUUCCAUUAGUUUGUUGGCGGGGUAACGGCCCACCAAGACAACGAUGGAUAGGGGUUCUGAGAGGAAGGUCCCCCACAUUGGAACUGAGACACGGUCCAAACUCCUACGGGAGGCAGCAGUGAGGAAUAUUGGUCAAUGGGCGAGAGCCUGAACCAGCCAAGUAGCGUGAAGGAUGAAGGCUCUAUGGGUCGUAAACUUCUUUUAUAUGGGAAUAAAGUUUUCCGCGUGUGGAAUUUUGUAUGUACCAUAUGAAUAAGGAUCGGCUAACUCCGUGCCAGCAGCCGCGGUAAUACGGAGGAUCCGAGCGUUAUCCGGAUUUAUUGGGUUUAAAGGGAGCGUAGGUGGAUUGUUAAGUCAGUUGUGAAAGUUUGCGGCUCAACCGUAAAAUUGCAGUUGAAACUGGCAGUCUUGAGUACAGUAGAGGUGGGCGGAAUUCGUGGUGUAGCGGUGAAAUGCUUAGAUAUCACGAAGAACUCCGAUUGCGAAGGCAGCUCACUAGACUGUCACUGACACUGAUGCUCGAAAGUGUGGGGUAUCAAACAGGAUUAGAUACCCUGGUAGUCCACACAGUAAACGAUGAAUACUCGCUGUUUGCGAUAUACAGUAAGCGGCCAAGCGAAAGCAUUAAGUAUUCCACCUGGGGAGUACGCCGGCAACGGUGAAACUCAAAGGAAUUGACGGGGGCCCGCACAAGCGGAGGAACAUGUGGUUUAAUUCGAUGAUACGCGAGGAACCUUACCCGGGCUUAAAUUGCAACAGAAUAUAUUGGAAACAGUAUAGCCGUAAGGCUGUUGUGAAGGUGCUGCAUGGUUGUCGUCAGCUCGUGCCGUGAGGUGUCGGCUUAAGUGCCAUAACGAGCGCAACCCUUAUCUUUAGUUACUAACAGGUGAUGCUGAGGACUCUAGAGAGACUGCCGUCGUAAGAUGUGAGGAAGGUGGGGAUGACGUCAAAUCAGCACGGCCCUUACGUCCGGGGCUACACACGUGUUACAAUGGGGGGUACAGAAGGCGGCUACCUGGUGACAGGAUGCUAAUCCCAAAAACCUCUCUCAGUUCGGAUCGAAGUCUGCAACCCGACUUCGUGAAGCUGGAUUCGCUAGUAAUCGCGCAUCAGCCAUGGCGCGGUGAAUACGUUCCCGGGCCUUGUACACACCGCCCGUCAAGCCAUGAAAGCCGGGGGUACCUGAAGUACGUAACCGCAAGGAGCGUCCUAGGGUAAAACUGGUAAUUGGGGC